rnacentral:rRNA from 1 species
GGCCAAUUGCGGCAGCUACCAUGCAAGUCGAGCGGUAACAGAUCCAGCUUGCUGGAUGCUGACGAGCGGCGGACGGGUGAGUAAUGCAUAGGAAUCUGCCCGAUAGUGGGGGAUAACCUGGGGAAACCCAGGCUAAUACCGCAUACGUCCUACGGGAGAAAGGGGGCUUCGGCUCCCGCUAUCGGAUGAGCCUAUGUCGGAUUAGCUAGUUGGUGAGGUAACGGCUCACCAAGGCCACGAUCCGUAGCUGGUCUGAGAGGAUGAUCAGCCACAUCGGGACUGAGACACGGCCCGAACUCCUACGGGAGGCAGCAGUGGGGAAUAUUGGACAAUGGGGGGAACCCUGAUCCAGCCAUGCCGCGUGUGUGAAGAAGGCCCUCGGGUUGUAAAGCACUUUCAGCGAGGAAGAACGCCUAGCGGUUAAUACCCGCUAGGAAAGACAUCACUCGCAGAAGAAGCACCGGCUAACUCCGUGCCAGCAGCCGCGGUAAUACGGAGGGUGCAAGCGUUAAUCGGAAUUACUGGGCGUAAAGCGCGCGUAGGUGGCUUGAUAAGCCGGUUGUGAAAGCCCCGGGCUCAACCUGGGAACGGCAUCCGGAACUGUCAAGCUAGAGUGCAGGAGAGGAAGGUAGAAUUCCCGGUGUAGCGGUGAAAUGCGUAGAGAUCGGGAGGAAUACCAGUGGCGAAGGCGGCCUUCUGGACUGACACUGACACUGAGGUGCGAAAGCGUGGGUAGCAAACAGGAUUAGAUACCCUGGUAGUCA